GCCCAGCACCGAAUCCUUCACCAUCUCGGUGACAGGAAAUGUGGUGUUUAGGCCGUACCUUGUCCCGAUACGUCUCUCCUCAAGUCCACUUGAUUGUGGCCCCAGGCCCAGAGAGGGUGUAAGGCCCGUGGAGGCGAGACGUUCGGUACCCGGUGCGUCCUUAGAGUCGGGUUGUUUGGGAAUGCAGCCCUAAGCGGGUGGUAAACUCCAUCCAAGGCUAAAUACCAGCACGAGUCCGAUAGCGAAGAAGUACCGCGAGGGAAGGUUGAAAAGAACUUUGAAGAGAGAGUUCAAGAGUACGUGAAACCGCUGAGAGGCAAACUGGUGGAACUGAAAUGGUCCCGAGGAAUUCAGCCGUUGGUGGGGACACAGUCUUUGGUGCUUGAUUUAACGACAACGCCUUUGACUGACGUGUCUAUCAUCGGUGCACUUUCCUCGUUAUGGGCCCGACCACGACCGGUGAGCUGAUCUGUCUGUCGUGCUUGGAAGAUAGCGCCGUCUUCGGAAGGCGUGUUAUAGACUUGCAUACGGAGCAGUCGGCGCACUGGAUGAUAGUGCCUGCCCAUUGGGCUCAUAUGGUGGUUGUUUUGACGGCGAGUUCUGAUGUCACUACUUCGGUAGAGUCGUUAGACUGUGUUGGCCUUAUGACUGUCCUCUAUGAUUGGCACUGGUAAGUCUGUGGUUGUGAAGUAGGUAGUCCACCUGACCCGUCUUGAAACACGGACCAAGGAGUCUAACAUGUGCGCGAGUCAUUGGGUUCACGAAACCUAAAGGCGCAGUGAAGGUAAAGAUCUGUUUUGGCAGAUUGAGGUGGGAUGCUGGGUUACGCGCCCAGCCGCACUACCGGCCCGUUCUAUAUGUAUCUCAUAGGAGCGGAGCAAGAGCGUACACGUUGGGACCCGAAAGAUGGUGAACUAUGCUUGCGCAGGUCGAAG
rnacentral:rRNA from 1 species